rnacentral:lncRNA from 10 species
CCCGGGUUCACGCCAUUCUCCCGCCUCAGCCUCCCUCAGCGUCCGGAGUAGCUAGGACUACAGGCGCCCGCUACCACGCCCGGCUAAUUUUUUUGUAGUUUUAGUAGAGACGGGGUUUCACCGUGUUAGCCAGGAUGGUCUCCAUCUCCUGACCUCGUGAUCCGCCCGCCUCGGCCUCCCAAAGCGUUGGGAUUACAGGAGUGAGCCACCGCGCCCGGCCGGUCACAGUGUCCAUGUAACUAACUCCUGGUUAAGAGGAUAUGGAUAGAAGGCACAUGUUCAACUUCUGGCUUCUGUCCUUGAAAAGUGUGAUGAUUCCAUCCUUUGCUGUCUUCCUUCCCGCUGACUGGAAUGUGGACUUGGUAGUGAGCUACCUUGGACUAUGUGGAUGAAGACAAAGAUAAAAGGAACCAAGGACUCUGAUGAUUCUGUAGAGAAGAGGAACCGUAGCUGCUCAAACGUUCAUGUGAAAGAAGAAUAAACUAUCAGAUUUAAGCCACUGCUAUUUUGGGUCUUUGUGAUAAACAGUGUUUACCAUAUCCUAAUUCACUAUUCCUUCCAUUUCUAGGUCAACCAUGUUGAAUUAAAUAUAGUGCUCUAACUUGCAA